rnacentral:rRNA from 1 species
UACCAGCACCCCGAGUGGUCGGGACGUUUAUUGGGCCUAAAGCAUCCGUAGCCGGUUCUACAAGUCUUCCGUUAAAUCCAACUGCUUAACAGGUGGGCUGCGGAAGAUACUAUAGAGCUAGGAGGCGGGAGAGGCAAGCGGUACUCGAUGGGUAGGGGUAAAAUCCGUUGAUCCAUUGAAGACCACCAGCGGCGAAGGCGGCUUGCCAGAACGCGCUCGACGGUGAGGGAUGAAAGCUGGGGGAGCAAACCGG